UACGAAGGGGGCUAGCGUUGCUCGGAAUCACUGGGCGUAAAGGGCGCGUAGGCGGCGACCCAAGUCAGAUGUGAAAGUCCUGGGCUUAACCUGGGGACUGCAUUUGAUACUGGGUUGCUUGAAUUCGGGAGAGGAUAGCGGAAUUCCCAGUGUAGAGGUGAAAUUCGUAGAUAUUGGGAAGAACACCGGUGGCGAAGGCGGCUAUCUGGACCGACAUUGACGCUGAGGCGCGAAAAGCGUGGGGAGCAAACAGG
rnacentral:rRNA from 1 species